UAACGGCAUCACGAGGGUCCUACUGUCUCCUCUCUCCAAUCAAUGAAACUGAUCUCUCCGUGAAGAAGCGGGGAUUUAACUAUAAGACGAGAAGACCCCAUGGAGCUUUAAACCCGACUACACCUCCACCUCUUAUACCCACAUAAUCAACGGAGUACUGUACAUCGGUUUUGGGUUGGGGUGACCACGGAGCACAAACUAACCUCCAUGAUGAAUAAGACUAACCCUUUAUCUAAGAGACACAUCUCUAAGAAUUAGCACACUAACAUAAAAUGAUCCGAUAUUCGAUCAACGAACCAAGUUACCCUGGGGAUAACAGCGCAAUCCACUUCAAGAGCCCCUAUCCACAAGUGGGUUUACGACCUCGAUGUUGGAUCAGGGUAUCCUAGUGGUGCAGCAGCUACUAAAGGUUCGUUUGUUCAACGAUUAAAACCCU
rnacentral:rRNA from 1 species